GAUAUCAACAAAGGUAGGUUUGAGCAAACAAAGUGUCAGCGAUGUUACACACAAGAGUUAGACAGGGUGCCAGCGUUUGUCACCUGUUUCUAACUCUUGUGCGUAACAUCACCGACACUUCGUUUGAUCAAACUUAUCCUCGUUGAUAUC